CAUACCAUGCUGAAUAUAUCGGUUCUCGUUAGAAUAACCGAAGUCAAGCAUCAUUGGGCGCGGUCAGUACUUGGGUGAGUGACAACCUGGGAACACCGCGUGCCGUU
rnacentral:rRNA from 1 species